UGGGGAAUUUUGGACAAUGGGCGAAAGCCUGAUCCAGCAAUGCCGCGUGUGUGAAGAAGGCCUUCGGGUUGUAAAGCACUUUUGUCCGGAAAGAAAUGGCUCUGGUUAAUACCUGGGGUCGAUGACGGUACCGGAAGAAUAAGGACCGGCUAACUACGUGCCAGCAGCCGCGGUAAUACGUAGGGUCCAAGCGUUAAUCGGAAUUACUGGGCGUAAAGCGUGCGCAGGCGGUUGUGCAAGACCGAUGUGAAAUCCCCGAGCUUAACUUGGGAAUUGCAUUGGUGACUGCACGGCUAGAGUGUGUCAGAGGGGGGUAGAAUUCCACGUGUAGCAGUGAAAUGCGUAGAGAUGUGGAGGAAUACCGAUGGCGAAGGCAGCCCCCUGGGAUAACACUGACGCUCAUGCACGAAAGCGUGGGGAGCAAACAGGAUUAGAUACCCCUGGUAGUCCACGCCCUAAACGAUGUCAACUAGUUGUUGGGGAUUCAUUUCCUUAGUAACGUAGCUAACGCGUGAAGUUGGACCGCCUGGGGAGUACGGUCGCAAGAUUAAAACUCAAAUGAAUUGACGGGGUCAUAGCUGUUU
rnacentral:rRNA from 1 species